UCUCGUUGAACCGACGUGUCUCUCGUGGGUUAUUGAUCACAGCCUCGCGAAAUUAGUGUUUAUCGGACUUCAAUGCGAAGCCUAAUUAUCAGGGACGACGGUCGGCGCGAGCAUUCUCGGCGCUAUAGGCCAAUCAUAUACGGUAACUAGCUAUCUAGUUUACACGCUAUACUCCCGGUGAUGCGCACCAAUGAAAUGUCGGAGCUUAGGCAGUUUGUUAGCGGUGGUCGAAAUUUGUAUGGGAAAAUACACAUGCAAUCUACAUUUGUGUGACAAUUAACAUUUAUGUAACGCAAACUCUCAUCCUUCAUCCUGGAGGGCGAGGUUGCGCACUGACGGCACAGGUAGAGAGAAUAUGUCAUCCAUCUGAACAGCUUCCAUUUACACAGUCUAAGGCCAGCUAUGGAACAGCAGCAAUAUACAUCGAUUGACAUAGCAAUGACAUGGAGAUCUAGAAUAUUCUUGAGACGUUGGAAGCCACUGCAGCAAUAACUUUAUUUCAACUCCUUUGUACUGCCAUGCUCGUGAGCGAACAGGCAGUCAUGAAUGAGAUAGAGGAUUCAAGAAGACACAGAAACGAACCCAUUUCCUUUGCCAUCGAGUCAUCCAAAGUCUGUGAAUCGGUUAUCUGAACCAAGAGUCAAGCGAUUUCUGAUUUCCAGACAACAGACGAUUAAUAGAUGGGACCAGCUUUCGGACGGGAAACAUGGCUGGAACGUCACAGCUAAAGGAGACGAUUAAGGACUGUCAUGCAUGUCAGACAGGCGAGACAUGCGCUACUCAACCUGUUCAUUCCUGAGACGAAUCGGCAAGAGCAGGCACCAAACUGAUCAAUCAACUUCGAGGCUCCGGACAAUCAAUGCCAUUGAUAGGAGAGUUCAGCUGCGUGCUCCAUCAUUGAAUUGCAGGAUCUCCGGCUGCAAGAUAAUUUGACCAAAUCAACUUUGAUUCAGCGAGACAACGUUCUUGACCACCUGGAAUACCAAGACUGACCGUCAAACCAAGAGAGCUUGUUCAUUCAGUUGAAGCAGCAAUAAAUAAUGACGAAAAUUAAUAAUAUAUACAAAGGACACAAAGACAAGCCAUACGAAACAGCGAUAAAAGAGGUAGAAAUGCUUUGUGUAAUAUUAAAUAUAUGGCUUAUUGAGUGAGAAGCUAGACGAGAGCGAGAUAAAGCGCUCAUGAAGAAAUGGCGCGUCAAUGCAGGAUAUGCGCCUAUUGAUACACCAAAACGGAAAUUCUUAGGUGCGGCCUGAUUUCCUUUUUGGGACUGCACCCCCAUUGAUUCCUCCGACGACCACAUCGUAUCUAACUUUUGAACCUGCCAGACUUUCCGUACAAAUUAACAAAGAUACACCAUUCGCGUGCUAUGGUAGGCAAGAUUCUGACUCAAUGAGCCAGAAAUCAGUCGUUAUCGUCCUGUGCUCGCGUACCUAGGUAAAGGAUGAAUCCUAUUGUAUGCCAUUCCGCGUCAUCAAUUGCUAUUUCUCGGUUGUUUGUUUCAUCCUGAAGCAUGCUGCUGUUUCAGUCUCUAAGAACGGAGAUCACGUCCGAGCCUUGGCUGAGGCCUUCUUUUCUCAUGAUGCCCAGACAAGGCUACAUCUCUUCCUGCAUGAAGUUCUUUUGAACAUAUUGAAACGCCUCUUCUCCCACCCUUAUCUUGCCUGUUCGGUACCUGGAGUACCGUCAGCCAGGCAUGAAGCCUUUGGUCUUCCUGAUGGCCGCUCUUGUCCUCCGCAUCACUGCGGCUCCGGUUGAAAUCGACGAUGCCGAUGUUGCUGACGUUGUUGAUGUUCCUGAGAAACUCAAAUCCAGAGACAAUUGGUGCCACCACGCCGGCAUCACCUGCUGGUAACGUUGCUGCACCGUGGACAACAGGGCCGCUGGUUUUGCCUGUGGAUUGAUGAUUAACCAUCAUCCACAUGUAUCACCACGUCCGACGCAGGUACGUUGCGAACAUGAACAAAGCUCUCCAUUUCUUGUACAUUCUUGAACCGAAUGUAUUCUCAGCCGAUUUUCAGCUGCUCGGUUACGUCGUUCACACUUUUGCCUUCGCUAUUGUAUAUAUACAAAAACU
rnacentral:lncRNA from 1 species